CCUUCGAUAGCUCAGUUGGUAGAGCGGGGGACUGUAGAUCCUUAGGUCGCUGGUUCGACUCCGGCUCGAAGGA
rnacentral:tRNA from 1 species